rnacentral:rRNA from 1 species
UACGGGGGGGGCAAGCGUUGUUCGGAAUUACUGGGCGUAAAGGGCGCGUAGGCGGCCUACUAAGUCGGACGUGAAAUCCCUCGGCUCAACCGAGGAACUGCGUCCGAUACUGGCAGGCUGGAAUCCGGGAGAGGGAUGUGGAAUUCCAGGUGUAGCGGUGAAAUGCGUAGAUAUCUGGAGGAACACCGGUGGCGAAGGCGGCAUCCUGGACCGGUACUGACGCUGAGACGCGAAAGCGUGGGGAGCGAACAGG